AUGUAUUCCACCUCUGAAUACCACCACAUGCCACAGUUAGGAAAGCUGGCACGAAUCUGGGAGAUGAAAAGUCCCAUCAUUCCUCUUCUUCGUAGUACCAGGCCCACCAACAAGGGAAAUAUCUCCCACACUCUGAGCAUGACACAAAUUCACCAGAGCUCCUGCACAGCCGCAGAUGGAACUCACUGGGGUGCCCCAUGUGCAGCCAGCUCCUCUGCCUUCCCAUGCCACCAUUUCCCUUCCAGGCAAGCACCUGCCCAGGCACACACACAUUGUGACGUGGGGAGAGUGAAGCCAUUGCCAUACCAGAUGUUUCCUACUGCUGAGGAGCACGGAGGAGGAAAUUCCCACUGGAGCAGGACUGCAAUCCAAGAGGCCCCUCUGCCUGCAGAUUAACGGAGAAGCAGCUGAUGGGCUGUGCUGCUCCUGCAUCCUCUCCUUGCACCCAGCACCCUGCAGCAGGUGUGGAUGAGAGGAGCUGCCCCAAGGCAUCUCCAGAUCCACACACGGACCUCUGCAAACCCUGCAGAGCCCUCAGGGUUAUCGAUUCCUCACACUCCCUGCUCAGUUACAUGCUCCGUGGAAGAAAGCUGCUUUAUCAGCUCUGGCUGAUCCUGUUAUCGCUGCCAGCACAUGCCUUCAUUCUUGCACUACAAAAAAAAGAAAAAAAAAGUAGUAAAUCCAAAUCUCUUGACUCAACUCCUCACACUUAUUCAUGACCACAGAUAUUUUUUAUCCUGUCUCCUGCUAUGUUCCUUUUCUAAUGUAAACCACAUCCUACAUUUCCAUGUCUUUCCUUUGAAACUUCAGUGUCCUUUUGGAUGGAGAUAUGGGAUUUUGACUGAGCCCUCCAGACAUUAAUACAAUAAUAGCAGCAAGUGCAGAAAUGCAAUAAUACAGCCCAUUGUGCUGUCUGUUGCCUUGUGCUGGCCCAGCAGCCUGUAACACAGCUCGUGCUGCAUCAGCACAAGAGGGCUCGUAGCUUUUCCCCAUGCCUUAUCCCACUGCCACCAAUCCACUUCACUACUUAGCACACCGUACAUGAUACUCAGGCAUUCCCCCCAAACAGACAAUCUAUUGAAAUGCAGCUGAGAGAGGAGGAGAACGUGCCCACAAACAGGUCCUAACGAGAUGAGCUUCCAAUGUCUUCUAUCAGCCUAUUGAAGGCUGCCACUUUGUGUGCUUAUACAGCUUUGGGAAGAAAGCCUCCAUCCAGCACCGCAACAACAACAGCAGGAUGGGAAUAAACACUUGGCUGCAGAUCA
rnacentral:lncRNA from 1 species